rnacentral:rRNA from 1 species
GAUGAACGCUGACAGAAUGCUUAACACAUGCAAGUCAACUUGAACUUCGGUUUGGGUGGCGGACGGGUGAGUAACGCGUAAAGAACUUGCCUCACAGAUAGGGACAACAUUUGGAAACGAAUGCUAAUACCUGAUAUUAUGAUUAUAUGGCAUCGUAUAAUUAUGAAAGCUAUAUGCGCUGUGAGAGAGCUUUGCGUCCCAUUAGCUAGUUGGAGAGGUAACGGCUCACCAAGGCGAUGAUGGGUAGCCGGCCUGAGAGGGUGAUCGGCCACAAGGGGACUGAGACACGGCCCUUACUCCUACGGGAGGCAGCAGUGGGGAAUAUAGGACAAUGGACCAAGAGUCUGAUCCAGCAAUUCUGUGUGCACGAUGAAGUUUUUCGGAAUGUAAAGUGCUUUCAGUUGGGAAGAAAAAAAUGACGGUACCAACAGAAGAAGUGACGGCUAAAUACGUG